rnacentral:rRNA from 1 species
AUAAGAGAUUAGAGUUUUCGGUUCGGCCGGACGAAACACAGGUGCUGCAUGGCUGUCGUCAGCUCGAGUCGUGAGAUGUUGGGUUAAGUCCCGCAACGAGCGCAACCCUCACUUUUAGUUGCCAUCAUUAAGUUGGGCACUCUGAAAGAACUUCCAGUGAUAAGCUGGAGGAAGGUGGGGAUGACGUCAAGUCCUCAUGGCCCUUACGUGUUGGGCUACACACGUGCUACAAUGGCAUCUACAACAGGAAGCAAAACGGCAACGUUAAGCAAAUCCCGAAAAGAUGCCUCAGUUCGGAUUGCACUCUGCAACUCGAGUGCAUGAAGCUGGAAUUACUAGUAAUCGUGGAUCAGCGUGCCACGGUGAAUGCGUUCCCGGGUCUUGUACACACCGCCCGUCACACCAUGGGAGUUGGUUCUACCUUAAGGCAAGGUUUUAAACCCUUGACCACGGUAUAGUCAGCGACUGGGGUGAAGUCGUAACAAGGUAACCGUA